rnacentral:lncRNA from 1 species
UUCCCGCCCCUCUCCCCGGCGCUAAUUCCCGCCCGGAAUUCCAGGGGAGAAGCCAUUCGAGUGCGACAUGUGUGACAUGCGCUUCAUCCAGAAGUACCACCUGGAGCGACACAAGCGGGUGCACAGUGGGGAGAAGCCCUACCAGUGCGAGCGCUGCAUGCAGAGCUUCUCCCGCACGGACCGGCUGCUCCGACACAAGCGCAUGUGCCAAGGCUGCCAGACCAAGACCCCUCCCGACUCCCAGCUCCUGCUGUGAAAAUCGGGAAGUUCAGGGGGUGUGGGAGGGGGGUGUUUCCUCCCACACCCCCCCACAUCACCAUGCUCUGCCUCACCUGGAUUUCUCAGCCCCUCUAAGGAUGGGGAAGAACCCAAGUGCUGCCAGUGUGGAAAAACUUGGAUCGUUCCUGCCCUCCAGCCUAAGAACUUGGAUUAUGAUCCCAAAAAUCCUCUUGGAAUCUUCGAGUGCCCCCCCCCCACCAUCAUUAUACCCCUGAAUCCACCCCUCCCCCUCUUAGGAAGGACUGGAAACCCCCAAACUGCCCAAAAUCCCGGCGGAUCUGAGAUACCUGUGCACAGGUAGGAGGGUCCCACUGGGAAUAGCAGUAUCAAUCCCUGUCUUCUUUGGGAAAAGGAGGAAAACUGAAGAUGUUGGGGGUGCUUCAGCUUCUGGGGGGGCACCCCCAUUUUUUGUUUUUGGAAAAUAGGAAAAUGGAAUUUGGGGGCUCCCUUUGAGCAGUGGGACACACUGCGGUACUUCCCAUUUCAUCUGGAACUCCUUCAGAUUUUGGGGGGUUUCUCCUACUUUUGUGUGGUUUUGGGGUGCUGCCUAUGUCCCCCCAUGCUGGGAGGUUUACACCCUGGGGCAACAGAAGGGUAACUCUGAGGGACCCUCCCAGUUUCCUGGAGAACGCCUGGAUCAGGGGCAAGGGGGGCGGCGGUGGCAGGAGCAGCCACAAGUCACAAAAAAAAAGGGGGGUGUCCCUUUUCCCCCCAUCACAUACUGCUCCAAGGGGCAAGAGAUAUUUGCGCCCCCCCCCCAUUUUUGUGACCUGAACCCCCUUUCAAAACUGUGGGAAUUUUUGGGGGACCCAAAUUUCUGGGACCUCCCCCAGUGAUACUUCAAGAAGGACUUCGGCUCUGCUUAGCCUAUUUCCCCAAGUUUGUGGGGCCCCGGGGGGGCAGUUUGGGGGCUCUGGCAGGGGUUGGGGU